UAUAAAAUAGUGUAAUAUGCACAAAGAGUUUUGGAUUCUUUAGUUUUGGGUUUGUUCCAUUUUUUAUAG
rnacentral:tRNA from 1 species